rnacentral:rRNA from 1 species
UACGUAGGGUGCGAGCGUUAAUCGGAAUUACUGGGCGUAAAGCGUGCGCAGGCGGUUCGUUGUGUCGGCGGUGAAAGCCCCGGGCUUAACCUGGGAAUGGCCGUUGAAACUGGCGAACUGGAGUGUGGCAGGAGGGGGGUGGAAUUCCGCGUGUAGCAGUGAAAUGCGUAGAUAUGCGGAGGAACACCGAUGGCGAAGGCAAUCCCCUGGACCUGUACUGACGCUCAUGCACGAAAGCGUGGGGAGCAAACAGG